rfam:Curvibacter sp. PAE-TM genomic scaffold Scaffold1, whole genome shotgun sequence.
GACGAAUCUAUUGUCCGCCGAGCCCGGUCGUUACCGCGACCGGGGGAGGGCGGCGAAAAGAGGAAUCC